UGGGGAAUAUUGGGCAAUGGGCGCAAGCCUGACCCAGCAACGCCGCGUGAAGGAAGAAGGCUUUCGGGUUGUAAACUUCUUUUAAGAGGGAAGAGCAGAAGACUGUACCUCUAGAAUAAGCCACGGCUAACUACGUGCCAGCAGCCGCGGUAAUACGUAGGUGGCAAGCGUUGUCCGGAUUUACUGGGUGUAAAGGGCGUGCAGCCGGGAAUGCAAGUCAGAUGUGAAAUCCAUGGGCUUAACCCAUGAACUGCAUUUGAAACUGUAUUUCUUGAGUACUGGAGAGGCAAUCGGAAUUCCUAGUGUAGCGGUGAAAUGCGUAGAUAUUAGGAGGAACACCAGUGGCGAAGGCGGAUUGCUGGACAGCAACUGACGGUGAGGCGCGAAAGUGUGGGGAGCAAACAGG
rnacentral:rRNA from 1 species